GACAGAGGCCUCAAGCGUUAGGCGGAAUCACUGGGCUUAAAGCGUGUGUAGGCGGACUUCUAAGUGCCUUGUGAAAUCCCACGGCUCAACCGUGGAACUGCUGGGCAUACUGGGGAGUCUUGGGCCAUUCAGGGGCAACUGGAACAAGCGGUGGAGCGGUGAAAUGCGUAGAUAAUCGGCUUGGAACGCCGAAGGUGAAAACAGGUUGCUGGGGACGUG
rnacentral:rRNA from 1 species